GCCAUCCCUAGUCCGUAAGAAGCAGAUAUAGAACGGCGUGUAAUAUGUAAAUUUUUCAAAUAAGCUAAGUUUGUGUAUAUUUUCAUCAUUAAAACGACGUGUAAAUUAAAAUCAUCUUAAUUAUAAUUAAUAAACAAUCGCAUUAAAACACAACGGAAAUACAACAACCACAAUUCUCAAAAUUUAAUCUGUGUAAAAAUAAAUUCAAGUUUUAACCAA